rnacentral:ncRNA from 1 species
GCAUAAGCUGUGAACGGGAGUAGUAAACGUCACGCUUCAUUCAAGAGAGCCGCUCCUUGGUGCAACGCGGUAUGAAGCAACGUCGAACGUGUCCGGGAGCUGGUCGUGCGAAAGUUGAGUGCGAUCCGUCGUCGGCGUUAACGAACAGAGUUGCCGGGAGAAAUUCCCGGAAGUUAGGUGGUACCGCGUCAAUCACGUCCUUUCA